UAACUUUUAUCUAAUUAGAUAAUAUUUAUUGCUACUAUUUAAUCAGUUUUAUCUAUUUAUUUAUUCACCUAUUAGGUUUAUGAAGCCUACGGGCAAACUGAAACUACUGGACCUUGCACGUUAAAUAUUGACAGUGACAACUCUUUCGGGCAUGUCGGUAUACCAAUACCAAGUAACAUGUUAAAACUGGUCGAUGUUCCUGAAUUAGGAUAUUUCGCAAAAGAUGGAGAAGGUGAAUUGUGUGUGAAAGGAUACAAUGUGUUCAAAGGAUACUACCACGAUGUAGAACAAACAGAAAAAACAAUUGAU